rnacentral:rRNA from 1 species
CCCUUAGAUGUUCUGGGCUGCACGCGCGCUACACUGAUGCAUUCAACGAGCUUUCGAUCUUGCCCGAGAGGGUUGGAUAAUCUUUUUAAAGUGCAUCGUGAUGGGGAUAGAUUAUUGCAAUUAUUAAUCUUCAACGAGGAAUUCCCAGUAAGCGCGAGUCAUAAGCUCGCGUUGAUUACGUCCCUGCCCUUUGUACACACCGCCCGUCGCUACUACCGAUUGGAUGGUUUAGUGAGAUCCUCGGAUUGGUCCCGGCGCGGCCUCUGGUCGUGCCGGAGUGCCGAAAAGAAUGUCGAACUUGAUCAUCUAGAGGAAGUAAAAGUCGUAACA